rnacentral:rRNA from 1 species
CUUGAACGCAUAUUGCGGCCAUGGGUUAGCCUGUGGCCACGCCUGUCCGAGGGUCGGCUUAUAAACUAUCACGACGCCCAAAAAGUCGUGGCUUGGGUUUUGCCAGCUGGCGUGAUCUCCUCUAUGAGUAAUCAUGUGAGGUGCCAGAUCUAUGGCGUUUCCCUAAUGUAUCCGGAUGCACCCUUGUCUUGGCAGAAAGCCGUGGUGAGGUGCAGUGGCGGAAUCGUGGUUUAAUAAUCGGGUUGGUACUCAGUUGUCAGUGUGUUCGGCGAUCCCCUAGUCGGCACACUCAUGAUUUCUGGGAUAAUUCCAUACCAGGCACGUUCCGUUACUGUUACUUUGUCAUUGGUUUGAUGCUGAACUUGGUCAUGUGUCUGAUGCUAUUUCAUAUAACGACGGUACCCUUCGUGGUCUGUCUUCCUGACCUCGGUUCAGACGUGAUUACCCGCUGAACUUAAGCAUAUCACUAAGCGGAGGAAAAGAAA